GCCGCGGUAAUACGGAGGGUGCAAGCGUUAAUCGGAAUUACUGGGCGUAAAGCGCACGCAGGCGGUUUGUUAAGUCAGAUGUGAAAUCCCCGGGCUCAACCUGGGAACUGCAUCUGAUACUGGCAAGCUUGAGUCUCGUAGAGGGGGGUAGAAUUCCAGGUGUAGCGGUGAAAUGCGUAGAGAUCUGGAGGAAUACCGGUGGCGAAGGCGGCCCCCUGGACGAAGACUGACGCUCAGGUGCGAAAGCGUGGGGAGCAAACAGGAUUAGAUACCCUGGUAGUCCACGCCGUAAACGAUGUCGACUUGGAGGUUGUGCCCUUGAGGCGUGGCUUCCGGAGCUAACGCGUUAAGUCGACCGCCUGGGGAGUACGGCCGCAAGGUUAAAACUCAAAUGAAUUGACGGGGGCCCGCACAAGCGGUGGAGCAUGUGGUUUAAUUCGAUGCAACGCGAAGAACC
rnacentral:rRNA from 1 species